AGGCCCUCGCGCAGCGCGCUGGCGUUCAUGGCGCCCGCCGCGAGCUUGUCGAACAGCGCGCGGCGGGUCGGGUCGGCCAGGGCCUU
rnacentral:tRNA from 5 species